rnacentral:rRNA from 1 species
CCUACGGGAGGCUGCAGUAGGGAAUUUUCGUCAAUGGGCGCAAGCCUGAACGAGCAAUGCCGCGUGAACGAAGAAGGUCUUCGGCUCGUAAAGUUCUGUUGAAGGGGAAAAAGAGCGGAGAUAGUAAAUGGUCUCCGAUUGAUAUUACCCUUCGAGGAAGUCACGGCUAACUACGUGCCAGCCGCCGCGGUAAUACGUAGGUGGCGAGCGUUAUCCGGAAUGAUUGGGCGUAAAGGGUGCGUAGGCGGCCUGCUAAGUCUGGAGUGAAAGGUACCGGUUCAACCGGUAGAGGCUCUGGAAACUGGCGGGCUAGAGAGCAGGAGAGGGAGGUGGAACUCCAUGUGUAGCGGUAAAAUGCGUAGAUAUAUGGAAGAAGACCAGUGGCGAAGGCGGCCGCCUGGCCUGUUACUGACGCUGAGGCACGAAAGCGUGGGGAGCAAAUAGGAUUAGAUACCCGUGUAGUC